CUCUUUCACGUGGAAUUCCAAUAAAAUUGAUUCAUGUUUGUGGCUGUAAUGUGACAAAAUGUGGAAAAGUUCAAGGGGGCCGAAUACUUUUGCAAGCCACUGUAGCUAUAUCUGUCACUUCUUCCUCUACUUGUCCACCACUGCUAUAUAUAUGCCAGUUUUCUUAGCUGUGUCUUAGCUUAGUGAUUAUCAAUUCAAGAAGACUCCUCAAGAUUUGGUAGAACAGAUUUAACAAGAUUUGUCAAGUUGUGAAAGCGCUUGCUCAUAGGGGGUCAUCUAAUUGUUGGAGCGUUUUCCGUUUUCUCUGUAUUAUUGUAGUCUUUAACUUACAGUUUAAAGCACCUUGAGGCAACUGUUGUUGUGAUUUGGCGCAGUAUAAAUACAAUUAAAGUUAUUUGAACUUGCCUUACUCUCUGCAGGUGUUGAUCAAAGGCUUAUUUGACUACCAAAGGUUUUGCUUAAUUGUCUUGCUAACAAACUGUAUUUGUGCUCUUGUCUCCCUCAAAGAUCGCCAUCAGCAUAAGGGGUCCUCAUCCAUCGUGCAGAAAAUAAAAAAAAAAUUCAAUUACUACAGUUCUAUGCUUUACUUAAUAAUUAAUCGCCCAUCCCAUCACACUAUGAAUAUUUACAUGCAAAGCGUCCCUGGGAGCCAUCCAUAUGCCAGAGGGAGGGAAGUCUGUGUGUUUAUAGCAUUAAACGCUCAAAUAUCGUCACAAACCCCAUUUCGCCUCCAACCAUGAAAAACACUCACUAAAGCAUUGCAAGCAUUUUAUUUGGUGUUGCACAAUGUAACCUAUUCAAGUCCCAUUUAGACGUGGAGAGUCAGACUACAGGUACUCUCUCUAUGCUGAGCAGGAAAAUGCAGGUGGAUGCCCCACUGGUUGCUUGGAUCACUGACUAUUUAACAAGUCGACCACAGCAUGUUCGGCUGAAGAGCUGCCGCUCGGAUAACAGGGGCGCCGCAGGUGACUGUCCUAUUACCCUUCCUCUUCACCCUCUACACAUCUGACUUCAGGUACAAGUCUCAGUGAUGUCAUCUGCAGAAAUUCUCUGAUGACUCUGCCAUUGUGGGCUGUAUCAGGGAUGGACAGGAGGAGUGCAGGAGUGUGGUGGACAGCUUUGUUGAGUGGUGUGAGUUAAACCAUCUAGAGCUUAACAUCACAAAGACAAAGGAACUGAUCAUGGACUUCAGGAAGCAUGCUUCUCCUCCUACCCCUGUCACCAUCAGAGGGGCUGAUGUGGAGCUUUAUUCAAGGUGGAGAUGGUGAGGACAGGAACUAAGAAAUAACUAAACUGGGAAAACCUAAAUACAUGAAAUUAAAACCAAAACUCACAGAGUGACAUGCAAAGGAACACAGGUAGGACCACAGCGGAGACUCUGGGAAGACAUCACAGACAAAUCAGCAACAGGCAGGAGAACACACAGGGCUUAAAUACACACACAGGAGUAAUCAUGGGUUGGGAGACAGGAGGGAGAAGUCAGGGCCGACGAGACACAGACGUAAAGCUGAGAACACUCACAUGAGACGGAGACCUUAAGAAUAAAACAGGAAAUACAACAGGUUUGCACAGACAUGAACUUAACACAAGACAUGGCGACAGGGAGGGAACAUAAAGACGUGGGACCAGGGCAGGCACAGGGACACAGAACAAAAGGAGCUUGAAAUACAAAACAGAAACAAAACCUGAGAACAAGAAAUUCCCAACAAGAAUGAACCUAAAACAUAAGAUAAUAAUCAAAACCUAAAAGUCCACCACUGGGUCCACAGACUCAGGACCACGACAACUGCUGUCUUCAAAAAAGGGCAGAGUUGGCUUUUCCUAAUGAGGUGGCUCAGGUUCUUCAAUGUUGGUAGGAAAAUGCUGACCAUGUUCUAUCACGCUGUGGUAGAAAGCGUUCUUUGCAGCUGUGUGCUGGGGCAGUGGGGUGAAGACAGCUGAUGCCAACAGGCUGAACAAGCUGAUCUAAAAGGCUGGUUCUAUCCUGGGUGUCAGACUGGAGAACCUGGAGGUGUCCGAGAGGAGAAUGCUAAAGAAGCUUCUUUGUGUUAUGGACAACCUCUGCCAUCCCAUGCAUGCCUCCGUGAUGGACCAUCGGAGCACACGCAGCAAAAGACUAAUCGCCCCGAAAUGCAGAACUGACCGCCACAGGAAAUCCUUCAUGCCAGUGGCAAUAAGACUGUACAACUCUUCCUCGCUCUGUAGGGGAUUUUCCUGAGGAUUACUACCAACGUUAUUCUGUUCCCAUUUAGACCGUGCAAUAUCACCCAACAGUAUUUUAUUGAAUGUUUGUUUCAUCUCCCCAUCAUAUGCUGCUACUCUCUUUUAUUUAGUUGCAUAAUACUAUGUCACUUUUUAGAGUCACCUGCACUGAUAGUUAAGUUAUUUUAUUUUUCAGGAUAUAGUUACAUUGUUACUUCGUUGGGGUUAUUUGAUAUUAUAUUUUGUACUAUCCUACUGCAUAUUACUGUAUGCACUAUUCCUAUUGUAUAUAAUAUAUAUCUUAUUCCUCUGUCUCUAUUGCUGCAUUGAGCAUGUGUAUGACAAAAGACUUUCCCUUGGGACCGAGUAUAGGAAGAAGAAAAUAAAGUUGAUGUUAUUGAA